GAGUUUGUGAGAGGUGUUUUUCCACAAUCCUUACCCUGCAACAGCCCUGUUCGUUUGGUUGCCGCAGGUUUCGGCGUCAGCGGCAGCGUCUGCGUCGGCGGCGGCGGCAGCGUCAAAGAAAACAGUUGUUAUUCGUUUCGCAGACGCUGCCGCUGACGCUGCCGCAAAUUAUUGUUCGUUUAGAAGACGCAGGAAGUUGAGGUCGACGCCGACGCUGCCGCAGGAAGCAGAUUUUUGGGUUGUUCGUUUGCCAGACGCAGCGGCUAAUUUUUUGGUCAAUUAUACAAAUGUAAAUUAUACAAAUGUAACAAUUUUUUUUUUCAUACAUCAUAAGCUAAAUUAGAAACAAAAUAAUAAUUCAAAAUAUUUAUCAUAAACAAAAGCUAAAUAUUACAUCAAGUCUUAAAUAAAUAUCACAUUUAAAUGACAAUCAAAGUUAUAAGCAAAAAAAAAUUAAAUCAUCAACUAAAACAUUUAAUACGGUAAACGACCUCUACCAUAUUCAUUUGUGAUGUUAUCACGCAAAUCUUCCAUCGCUCUAUCACCUGUCGGCUCAUAUACAAUAUGUCCACCACCACCACCACCACCACCACCACCUCCACCACCACCAUCAUCUUCAUCAUCAUCAUCAU
rnacentral:lncRNA from 1 species